GAUGAACGCUGGCGGCGUGCCUAAUACAUGCAAGUCGAGCGAACGGACGAGAAGCUUGCUUCUCUGAUGUUAGCGGCGGACGGGUGAGUGACACGUGGAUAACCUACCUAUAAGACUGGGAUAACUUCGGGAAACCGGAGCUAAUACCGGAUAAUAUUUUGAACCGCAUGGUUCAAAAGUGAAAGACGGUCUUGCUGUCACUUAUAGAUGGAUCCGCGCUGCAUUAGCUAGUUGGUAAGGUAACGGCUUACCAAGGCAACGAUGCAUAGCCGACCUGAGAGGGUGAUCGGCCACACUGGAACUGAGACACGGUCCAGACUCCUACGGGAGGCAGCAGUAGGGAAUCUUCCGCAAUGGGCGAAAGCCUGACGGAGCAACGCCGCGUGAGUGAUGAAGGUCUUCGGAUCGUAAAACUCUGUUAUUAGGGAAGGACAUAUGUGUAAGUAACUGUGCACAUCUUGACGGUACCUAAUCAGAAAGCCACGGCUAACUACGUG
rnacentral:rRNA from 1 species